rnacentral:rRNA from 1 species
GACAGAGGGUGCAAGCGUUGUUCGGAAUUAUUGGGCGUAAAGGGCGCGUAGGUGGCCUGGUAAGUCGGAUGUGAAAGCCCAGGGCUUAACCCUGGAAGUGCAUCUGAUACUGCUUGGCUUGAGUCUCGGAGAGGGUCGUGGAAUUCCCAGUGUAGAGGUGAAAUUCGUAGAUAUUGGGAGGAACACCAGUGGCGAAGGCGGCGACCUGGACGAAGACUGACACUGAGGCGCGAAAGCCAGGGGAGCAAACGGG